ACAGAGGUCUCAAGCGUUGUUCGGAUUCAUUGGGCGUAAAGGGUGUGUAGGUGGCGCCGUAAGUCGGGUGUGAAAUUUCGGAGCUUAACUCCGAAACUGCAUUCGAUACUGCCGUGCUUGAGGACUGGAGAGGAGACUGGAAUUUACGGUGUAGCGGUGAAAUGCGUAGAUAUCGUAAGGCAGACCAGUGGCGACGGCGGGUCUCUGGACAGUUCCUGACGCUGAGGCACGAAGGCCAGGGGAGCAAACGGG
rnacentral:rRNA from 1 species